UGAAGAUGUGUGAUAGAAAAACCCAAAUCUGGAAUAAAUCUGACACUGACUGUUUGGAGGUUCUGUGGUUUUGACAAUGGAGAAAUCUCCAUAUCCACCUCCUUCCCCCACCACCUGAGCAUCUUCCUCCCCUGCUGGACACGUGUGCCAAGGAACCUACCUAAAUCCAGAGACCUCCACAUCCUCCUCCUUCCUGAUCCACCUGAGUAUCUUCCUCCUCUGCUGGACACCUGUGCCAAGAAACAUACCUAAAUCCAGAGAUCUUCAUAUUGUCUUCCUCCCGUGCUGGACACGUGUGCCAAGGAACCUACCUAAAUCCAGAGUCCUCUGCAUCCUCCUCCUCCUUUCUCACCCCGAGCAUCUUCCUUGUCUGCUGGACACCUGUGCCAAGGAACCUACCUCAAUCCAGAAAAAUUAAGAGCCUUACGGAGGGGGCAAGCGUUUUCCCUCUCAAAGCCUCCCGCAGCCCUCACUGCUCCCUGUCAGCACUGCUUGAAGUCAAUCACCAGGAAAAACUCCAACUCAGGUUCUGGUGUGAUGUCUUGAAGGCCCUGACCUAGAAGCCUCAGCCUGGGCCUCAGAGGGGCUGGCACUGGUAGUCAGAAGGUUUGCAUCUGGACAAGGAACAGGAUAGACUCACUACUCAUCUAUUAGUAAACAAAUAUAGUGCAAGCUUAGUUUUUUUAUUGUGUAGAUUUAGGAUUAGUUUCUGAUAUAUGUUCUACAAUUGGUAUGUAAGAUUUUUGUAUUAAAUAUUUUUCUAUCAAUUUGCUUUUUAAAUAUUUUUCUAUAAAAUAAAUUGCAUAUGUAGAAAAGCCCCCUAAACUUAGGUAAAACUUAAUGAUUUGGUAUCAGGCAGUUACCUUAGUGUCUACCCCCAAGAUCACCCACUCUCCUAUCAUCCUCAUUUGGAGUUGACUUAAGAAGGGGACUAUGAAUUUAGUACUUUCCAUCUGCCCUAUGUCAGUGUGUUUUUAAGGAUCCUGUUGUCUGAAAUGUGUUAAUUCUUUUGAUCGUGGGAACAUCAUCCUCGAUCCUUCAUGAUGACAUGAAUGUCAGGGUCUUUGACACCCAGUCACUCACCUGAUAUAAAAUCCAUGACUCACCAUUUCUCUCCUCAGUGUCUCUAACAUAUUGCUCUUAAUUUCUUCUGGGACAGCCUAUUCACUCUAUACGUGAUCAAAAUAUCAUUUUUCUUCCCUUAUGUGUUUCUUGCUCUUUUAUUCUGGAUGCCCAAAGGAUUUUUUUCUUUAAAGAUCAGUAGUUUUAUAAUUUGCUCUUAGUCAUUGCAAGUCAAUGUUCAUUUUCUCUUUAAUACAAAACUUCAAAGGUUUUUCAUAUUGAAAAAAAUUUGCGCAAUAUUAUUCUCUGUGUAUCCUUGCUGUGGUUUUUCUGUUUCAGGUCCCUCAGUCCUUCAAAUAUCAGAUUUCUUAUGAUUAUACUUCACUUUUGACACAAUCAUUAACAAUUAAUAAUUUCUUUCUUUUUUGUCUUUUUAGUGUCACACAUGCAGCAUAUAGAAGUUCCCAGGCUAGGGGUCAAAGUGGAACUGUAGUUGCCGGCCUGUGCCACAGACACAGUAACACAGCAUCCAAGUUGUGUUUGUGACCUACACCAGAGCUCACAGCAAUGCCGGAUCCUUAACCCAGUGAGCAAGGCCAGGGAUUGAGCCUGCAUCAUCACAGAUACUAGUCAGGUUCAUUACCCCUGAGCCACGAUGGGAACUCCUAGAAUUUGUUGAUUAAUUUCAUUCCCAGGAGUGUUUUAAAACAGUGUUUAAACUUACCUCCUUUGGAGUUCCUGUCGUGGAGCAGCGUAAUCAAAUCUGACUAGGAACCAUGAGGUUGCGGGUUUGAUCUAUGGCCUUGCUCAGCAGGUUAAGGAUCUGACAUUGCCGUGAGUUGUAGUAUAGGUCACAGACGAGGUUCAGAUCUCAUGUUGCUGUGGCUAUUCCCAUGUUACUGUGGCUGUGAGGCAGGCCAGCAAAAAAGGAAUAUUCACUAGUAGCUAUUGCAUGAGGUGAAAUGUAAAUUGGAUGCAUUAUUAGGCAAUAUUGUAUGUAAUAUAUCUUAAGAAUGGAGUAUCCUCAAAAAAAAAAAAAAAAAAAAAA
rnacentral:lncRNA from 9 species